rnacentral:rRNA from 1 species
GUGUCAGCAGCCGCGGUAAUACGUAGGAUCCGAGCGUUGUCCGGAUUUACUGGGUGUAAAGGGUGCGCAGGCGGACUGGUAAGUCAGUGGUGAAAUCUCGUCGCUUAACGACGAAACUGCCUUUGAUACUAUCAGUCUUGAGUCCGGUAGAGAUCUGUGGAAUUCCGAGUGUAGCAGUGAAAUGUGUAGAUAUUCGGAAGAACACCAGUGGCGAAGGCAGCAGAUUGGGCCGGUACUGACGCUCAUGCACGAAAGCGUGGGGAUCAAACAGGAUUAGAUACCCUCGUAGUCC